GGCCCUGUCUUUUGGGAAGAUAUAGUAAGUCAAGAGAAUAAAUAUUACAACAACAUUGGAAGCAUGUGCAUUGAUCUCAAGCAGCCUGGAGCACAAGCGGUCAGGAGAGCUGGACUGGCUGUCCCAUGUCCUGUUUAGACCCAGAGGAAAUGGGAGAGCAAGCAUGGAGAGGCUCCCUUGGGAGUAUAUACCCAGAUCAGUCCAUUGUGUCUGCCAGAAAACUACCUCACAGGCAGUUGUGAUCCAAGUUCCCCAGUCCCUCCCUGGCUUAGCUGUCUGCCUAGGACUUGGGAAGGGAGCCUCUCUGCAGCUCUCUGUAGACCACUCAGACCCAGUCAGCUUUCAAUCUACACACUGCGGCAGCCUGAGAUCACCACCCCAGCUGUUCGGUGGGGGAGGGACUUUUAUCUCAGGUCGCCUAGGUAUUUCCCGGUUGUUUUCAAGAAAUUCAAGCAAAGAUCUUUUGCCCCCUACUGGCCACUCCUGGAAACACACUCCAACGCUGCCAGAGCGACAAGCUCUGCCCUGCUGCACAGCCCGCGCAUGCGUCUCGGCUACCUUGGCUAUUUAGUCCUCUGAACUCCACAUUCACAGCACAAGAUCAAUGCGGGGAGAGGCUGCACGUGGAGACGACUUUCCUCAGAGGUGAUCGACAAGUCGCAAAAAAUCAAUUCUCCGACAACCUGCUCAGCCCACUAGUCCUGGGAGGCUUGACCCUGACUCCAGGACUCCAGGAGAGGCUGAGUCAGGGCGGGAAGAAAACUCAACAGGGAGACUAAACAUGCGUGGACACCGCAGGUUCUGGCCCUUUGGUCCUCCCAUCGGCCUCCUUCAGCUGGAGACAGCGUCUUCAAGGACUCCAUAGCUCAGGAGAACUAUCCCAGCCCGGCUUUAGAAACGUCCUUGCCAGGGAUGGUGCAAAAUGUUAAAGAAUGUUACAAUUUUCUGUUCUUUAAGCUAAAGGAUAAAGAGAUUGGACAAAAUCCAAUUCUCGGACUGUUUCAUCAAUACAAGGUUGUUAUCUUCGUUUCUUUUCCUGUUGCUGUGAUAAAGGCGAUUUAAGGAGGGGAGGGUUUCUUUUAGCUCACAGUUCACGUUACCGCCUGUCAAUGCAGAGAGGUCAAAGCAGCAAAAAAUGGUCACAGGGAAUCCACCAAGAGGAAGAAGAAUGAGUGGCUCGUGUCCACUUCGCUGUCUCCAUUUAUACACUCAAGAGUCCAUAACGAAUGGUCUAGCCCACAAUUAAGAUGGCUCCUUCCACAUUCUCAGAGACUCGGGUUACUCUAAAGGCCCGACCCCUCACAAGUAUCCUGAGAGACAUGUCUCACGGGUAAUUCUAUAGAGUCUGCAAGUUGGCAAUUAAUAUUUAUCCUCACAGUUUUGUUCCUUAAAAGACUCAAAAAAAAUUAUAAUGAGCAUACAUUCUGAAAUGUUAACACUGUGUCGUUCUGGAUUCUG